UAGGUACUCCCUCCGUUCGGAAUUACUUGUCUUGGAAAUGGAUGUAUCUAGAACUAAAAUAUGUCUAGAUACAUUCAUUUUCGCGACAAAUAAUUCCGAAUGGAGGGAGUAUUUA
rfam:Triticum aestivum genome assembly, contig: Triticum_aestivum_CS42_TGACv1_scaffold_404234_5BL